UACGGAGGGUGCGAGCGUUAAUCGGAAUAACUGGGCGUAAAGCGCACGCAGGCGGGCUUUCAAGUGGGGUGUGAAAUCCCCGGGCUUAACCUGGGAAUAGCAUUUCAGACUGGCAGUCUAGAGUACUUUAGAGAGGGGUAGAAUUCCACGUGUAGCGGUGAAAUGCGUAGAGAUGUGGAGGAAUACCGAAGGCGAAGGCAGCCCCUUGGGAAUAUACUGACGCUCAUGUGCGAAAGCGUGGGGAGCAAACAGG
rnacentral:rRNA from 1 species